ensembl:lncRNA
GAGGCAGCAACAUUUAUUUCCUUAAGUUCCAUUCCACUUCCAGAUGGAAGAACCAUUUUGUAGCAGGGCUUUUUAUCCCUUUGGGGAAGCCUGCCACAAGUGACCGCUGCUUCGAGCAGCUCUGAGUGUGGGGCUUUCCACUGUGGUCAUAACUCACCUCUGUCCCUGCUGGGAUCUCUGUGCAUGUUUCUGCAGGCACAGCACUCGGCUCCUCUCUCUUCCUGAAGGCUGGAGGUUUAUUUGCUGCCCAACUGCAGAACUGAAUCCAUAGGGCAUUUUUGGAUGCUUUAACGCCUAUGGAAUUCAGUUCUCAAAGCCAAGCAGCCAGUCCUCGCUGGCUUCCUGUUGCCCCAUGCGGCCGCAUCUCCAUCUGCAAGGAGGAAAAAAUAGCAGAGAGCUCACGCUCUGUGGUGGCUCAGCAGCCUGCCUGGGGAUCUAUUUAAGUCUCCAUGCAGGGAACCCAAGUUCAGCUGGGGCAGUGUGAACCCGCUGUCCUGGCAGGGUGCCUUCUGCUGCCACUGUGUUAGCUGGAAGAGGUGGCUCAGGGCCCUGGCAAUGCUGUCUUUCAGGCUGCCUCCAGCUCUCGGCUGCUCUGAGCAGCUGCUGCUUUGGGGGACUGAAAGGCAGAGGAGAAGGAAAAGCUUUCUCUAGGCUUCCACUAUGUGCUGAUUUUCAAAGAAAAGGGAAGGAUUGCAGGCAGAAAAGCAGGAGGGAGGUCAGCCUUGAUGUGUCCUUCCUUGUCAUGCCCCGAGAGAUGUCCCCAUCCCUCUGUGCAGCCCUGGGGAGAUAAUGUCUGUGGAGCCACAUGGGAUGCCUAUAGCGGUGUGCUCUGCCCUGUCCUGUGCUCUGGCAUGCCUGGAUGAAACAAGGCCAGCUCCAGGCAACCUGGGUUUGGCAUCCUGACUGUGGGGCCUGGGAAUCUCCCAAAGUACCUGGGUGUGAUGGGAAGCGCAUGGGGGCUUAAGCAUAAACAGCUCCAGCUGCUUCAUGUGGCUGUUUUUGCUUGUGGCUAUUCCUGCAAGCUGCAUCCCCACAACACAGCGUCCCUGAGGCUCUACUGGGGGCACAGAACCACAGGCACCUGCAGGAGGUAGGAACUUGUCUGGUAGAAGCUGGUUCAUACGUGGGGCUUUGGGGAGCUGAGGUGCUGGUGCAUCCCAUGUGCCGUCUGUGCUAGGCUCUGCUCUGAGCCCUGCCUCCUGCUGUCCCAUCUCCAAGCUGAUAAGGAAGCAGUGCCCUCGAGUUGGCAGUGCCAGCUAAUUAGUGCAGGAUGUGCCUGGGGCCAGGCAGCAGUCACAUGGGUGUUGCACACCCUUGGUGCUGGGACAUUCAUCCAGAUGGUCCUGCUUUGUCUUCUCAGGAAGUCUGCAGAAAUAGUUACGCACAACUACCCCCCCCUCCAUGGUUAAAUAUCAGCGGGGUGGCUCUCGUUCUGUGGAUUGCCCCAAAAGCUGCAGCUAGAACUGAAGCCAGGCUGGAGAAACUCAAACUUGUGGAUCUGCCAUCUCCUUCCCCACUGCCUGUGCUGGAGCAAUCACCCUGACAGCAGCAAGAUGCAUCCUCGCUGCUCACCGUCAGCCACAGCUGGGCUUUGGCUCCUGGGAGAGCAGCAGCAUGGGAACAGCCCUGGCUCUGGCAUAGCCCCCCCACAGCACUCGACCCCGGCACUCACCGGCAGCUCCCGGCUCUGUCUCUCUGGCAGCAGGACU